CCUACGGGCGGCAGCAGUAGGGAAUUUUGCGCAAUGGGGGAAACCCUGACGCAGCAACGCCGCGUGAUCGAUGAAGCCCUUCGGGUUGUAAAGAUCUGUUAGUGGGGACGAAACCUGACGGUACCCACAGAGGAAGCACCGGCUAACUCCGUGCCAGCAGCCGCGGUAAUACGGGGGGUGCAAGCGUUGUCCGGAUUCAUUGGGCGUAAAGGGUUCGUAGGUGGCACGUUAAGUCUGGUGUUAAAGGCGGAAGCUCAACUUCCGUAGGGCACUGGAAACUGGCGCACUUGAAUGCGGAAGAGGUAAAGGGAAUUCCUGGUGUAGCGGUGAAAUGCGUAGAUAUCAGGAAGAACAUCGGUGGCGAAAGCGCUUUACUGGGCCGUAAUUGACGCUGAGGAACGAAAGCCGGGGUAGCAAAUGGGAUUAGAUACCCGAGUAGUC
rnacentral:rRNA from 1 species